rnacentral:rRNA from 6 species
UUCGGUCUUUUGAGCGGUUUGGAACCACCUGUUUACCCCGUUCUACGGGGUUCCCAUUCCGAACACAGAAGUGAAACAGACCAGCGCCGAAGAUAGUUGUGGGGCAACUCACCGCGAAAAUAGGUCAAGGCCGGGG